rnacentral:rRNA from 1 species
GGGGAAUAUUGCACAAUGGGCGAAAGCCUGAUGCAGCAACGCCGCGUGCGGGAAGAAGGCCUUAGGGUUGUAAACCGCUUUCAGCAGGGAAGAAACUGACGGUACCUGCAGAAGAAGGAGCGGCCAACUACGUGCCAGCAGCCGCGGUGACACGUAGGCUCCAAGCGUUGUCCGGAUUUAUUGGGCGUAAAGAGCUCGUAGGCGGUUUAGUAAGUCGGGUGUGAAAACUCUGGGCUUAACCCAGAGACGCCACCCGAUACUGCUAUGACUUGAGUACGGUAGGGGAGUGGGGAAUUCCUGGUGUAGCGGUGAAAUGCGCAGAUAUCAGGAGGAACACCAGUGGCGAAGGCGCCACUCUGGGCCGAAACUGACGCUGAGGAGCGAAAGCGUGGGUAGCAAAC